rnacentral:tRNA from 1 species
GCCUGGCUGGCUCAGUCGGUAGAGCAUGUGACUCUUGAUCUUGGGGUUGUGAGUUUGAGCCCCAUGUUAGGUG